rnacentral:lncRNA from 1 species
AGAGUUUCUGAUUUGUAGCCCUGAGACACAGCUUCUUGUACUCUGUGAAUCCAGACCCCACAGGUUAUGGAAGAAAAGCAACAGACAGAAGAUGGGAAAAACAGGUCACGUUUAUAAGACCAGCUUGAAGACCAUGCCACACUGAGGAGUUUGGUUUUUCGUUAGGCAAAGAAACUAGCUGUUUUUUCUUCAAUGUUCAUCGGAAAACUUGCCCAGCAGCUGUGAGUGACUCUUCAGCUUUCGAAUCAUUGUCUUGGAAUCUUCUAAACCAGCCCUCAGCUUGGACUGGAACUACACCCCCAGCUCUCCUGGGUCUCCAGCUUGCAGAGGAAAGAUUGCAGGACUUCUCAGCCU